rnacentral:rRNA from 1 species
GACGAACGCUGGCGGCGUGCUUAACACAUGCAAGUCGAACGAGUGGCGAACGGGUGUGUAAUACGUGGGUAACCCGCCCUCUUUUUGGGAUAAGCCUUUGAAACGGGGUCUAAAACCGAAUAAGGUGGAUGGGCUCGCGGCUUAUCAGCUUGUUGGUGGGGUGAUGGCCUACCAAGGGGGUGACGGGUAGCCGGCCUGAGAGGGUGACCGGCCACAUUAGGACGGAGAUACGGCCCAGACUGCUACGGGAGGCAGCAGUGGGGGAAAUUGCACAAUGGGCGAAGGGCAGAUGCAGCGACGCCGCGUGGGGGAUGAGGGUUUUCGGGUUGUAAACCUCUUUCGCAAGGGAACGGGUAGGUGGAGAAGAAGCGCCGGCUAACUACGUGCCAGCAGCCGCGGUAAUUC